rnacentral:rRNA from 1 species
UGAGGAAUCUUCCGCAAUGGGCGAAAGCCUGACGGAGCAACGCCGCGUGUGGGAUGAAGACUCUAGGGUUGUAAACCACUGUCGGAGGGGACGAUCGUGACGGUACCCUCCAAGAAAGCCCCGGCUAACUACGUGCCAGCAGCCGCGGUAAUACGUAGGGGGCGAGCGUUAUCCGGAUUUACUGGGCGUAAAGCGCGUUAAGGCGGAUGGCAAAGUUGGGGGUGAAAUUUCGGGGCUCAACCCCGAAACUGCCGCCAAUACUGGUCAUCUAGAGUGUGGGAGAGGAAGGUGGAAUUCCGGGCGUAGUAGUGAAAUGCGUAGAUAUCCGGAGGAACACCGGUGGCGAAGGCGGCCUUCUGGCCCAUAACUGACGCUGUAGCGCGAAAGCGUNNNGAGCGAACGGGAUUAGAUACCCCGGUAGUCCACGCCCUAAACUUUGUGAACUAGGUGUUGGGUGUAUUGACGCGCUCAGCGCCGUAGCUAACGCAUUAAGUUCACCGCCUGGGGACUACGGCCGCAAGGUUA